UACGAAGGGGGGCUAGCGUUGCUCGGAAUCACUGGGCGUAAAGCGCACGUAGGCGGAUCUUUAAGUCAGGGGUGAAAUCCUGGAGCUCAACUCCAGAACUGCCUUUGAUACUGAGAAGCUUGAGUCCGGGAGAGGUGAGUGGAACUGCGAGUGUAGAGGUGAAAUUCGUAGAUAUUCGCAAGAACACCAGUGGCGAAGGCGGCUCACUGGCCCGGUACUGACGCUGAGGUGCGAAAGCGUGGGGAGCAAACAGG
rnacentral:rRNA from 1 species